rnacentral:lncRNA from 1 species
CGGAGUCUGCCAACUCCACAGUCAGAGCCUCAGUUUAUGACAGUGCGUCUGGUUUCGGGAGCGCUGCCCAUUUUUCAGUUCAGGACACACUUGUGGAAUAUCUAGCAUGUGUUGAGAGCCACAUCAUGAAGCUGAGACUCAGUGAACAAAGCAGCCAAAACCUGUGCCCUCGUGGAGCUGACAUUUUUGGAGUUGGGGACAGCAAAGAAAGAAAGAUUCAUAUCCACACGGAGCCCCGUAUCCAGCUGCCAACUUUGUGCCUGUAUCUGUCUUCUCGCCUCUGCCCUCGGGGUAUGUAACGGCCAUGCCCGUGGACACGCUGAGCCCGGGAGCCCCCACCACUCCCGCUUUACCUUUUCGCCUGCGAACCAAGGUCCCCGGCUACCUGCUACCAAGGCCAGCAGAUGGGGGAGCCAGGAAACCGAGUGCUGUGGAACGCCUGGAGGCUGAUAAGGCUAAGUACGUCAAGAGCCUGCGCGUGGCCAACACCCGCCAAGAACCUGUGCAGCCCCCGCUCGCCAGGCAGCCCCUCUUCAGCCCAGGUUCUCGCGGCCCAGUGCUCACACCCAGUCGCCGAGUCCUGCCCUGUUCUGGUCGCCGGCCCCAACUGGACCUAGACAUCCUUAGCAGCCUAAUCAACCUGUGUGAUAGUCCCGUGUCCCCAUCUGAGGCCAACCGAACACCUGGACGGCCAGAAGGAUCUGCCCACAAGGUCCCACCAGCCACCCCUCCUCGUCCGCCUCCUAGUACUGUCGCUGUGCGCCGAGUGGAUGUUCGUCCCCUGCCUGCUUCACCAGCUCGCCCC